UGCAUACAUACACACAUAACUAAAUGGCAAGACAAACACCAAGAGCUUUCCUAUAUAUAUAUAUAAUCUAGGUUACAAUAGGUUGUAUACCUUUAAAGUAAUGGGAGGAGUUUGGAAGAAUGUGGAAAAACGUUUAGAAAGGCCACAACAAAGGAAUGUACCAACCCAACAAAACCAAAUACAUACGUUCUCAACAAUUACGUACUAUAAAACAACCGAUAAGAUCCUUAGCAAACACUUAGAGGAAAAACAAGAAAAAUGCUUAGAAGAAAAGCACCCACCCUAUUUGACAGUAUACGGAAUGAUAAAGAUCCCAUAUCAAACAAGAAAAAAGCUGGUAUCUAUUCAAUACCCAUACA
rnacentral:lncRNA from 1 species